rnacentral:rRNA from 1 species
AUUGAACGCUGGCGGCAGGCCUAACACAUGCAAGUCGAACGAGUGGCGGACGGGUGAGUAAUGUCUGGGAAACUGCCUGAUGGAGGGGGAUAACUACUGGAAACGGUAGCUAAUACCGCAUACCAUCGGAUGUGCCCAGAUGGGAUUAGCUAGUAGGUGGGGUAACGGCUCACCUAGGCGACGAUCCCUAGCUGGUCUGAGAGGAUGACCGGCAACACGGGAAGUGAGACACGGACCAGACGCCUACGAGAGGAAGCAGUGGGGAAUAUUGCACAAUGGGCGCAAGGCUGAUGCAGCAAUGCGGCGUGUAUGAAGAAGGCCUUAGGGUUGUAAAGUACGUUCAGCGGGGAGGCGUUACCCGAAGAAGAAGCACCGGCUAACUCCGUGCCAGCAGCCGCGGUAAUAC